rnacentral:piRNA from 1 species
UGUGCUUUGCAAUAAAACNCCACUGUUGGC